rnacentral:lncRNA from 1 species
AACCUUUGACAAGACUAUUAACAUAUUGAAUGAAGGGUGACAUUUACCAGUUGUUUCUAACAGAUGAAGAUUCAAUUCUCUAUAGUAUUGUAUUGUCUAACUAAAUUUAUUCUGCUUGCUUCUACAAUUUUACAACUCAUUGAUAGAAAUAUACUACAACAUGAAGUGAAAUUGGCAAUUAUGGUGCAGUAAAAAUAUCAAAGCUUCCAGACAUUUAAGGUUAAAGAGAUAUAUUCAAAUGGAAACAGUUAACACAGAAUUGGGAGGAAAUAAAGCUGAUUCAGCAAUAAAUGUUCAAUCCAUCAAAUCAUCACCCAGACAACUUUUUUUAAAGUAAAAAACAUUAAUCGAUUCUGAAAUGUUUUUACAGUAAGUAUAAAAUUCUGCCAAAUAAAGAUGAUUACACUAUAGAUAAUUGUGAUUUAUUUCU